UGUAGAUGGAUCCCGAAUACCGCGUGAGAAAAUUCUUGGCCCUCUUAAGAGAAGAAGGAGCAUCUGAGAGACCAAGCAAGGAAGUUGAUUGUUCUGUUGGUUUGCUCUCCCUGUCCUGCUUCGCAAAACUUCCUUGUCUCAGUGCAGGAAAAAACUUGAUGUAGCCCCCUUGACUUUGAUUGAAAAUGGACUGUUUACAACACACAGUGACCAAGGGAAGUGACCAAAGUGAAGAUGACCUGUGAUCUUCACUCUUUGUGCUACAGAUACCAGACAAAGUGAAAUGUUCUCCACCUUCAACACGUGCUCGCUCUGCAUGUUAGUGCAAUACAGCUCCCUUCCUCGUGCUCACUGAGAUGUGCUAGUGUUUUGUGGAAGGGGUGAACUGCUUUAGAAUGCUGUGCUCUCCUUUCCAUGCAGGCUAAGAUGGUUCCUUCUUACUCAGAAUGUAUGCAUAGGACACACUAUACCUGUACACCCUGUACCACCCCAAAACUCUAGUAAAUGUAAUGAGUGAUGCUGCAAGGCAACACUUGGCCUGCAGUGAUCCCCUUCCAGCUCCCCUGUGCUAACACUAAAGGCAAUUGACGAUUGGCUUAAAGGCUCUCUCACAUAACAGGUUUACCUUUGCCUGAAUAAACAGGGCUUUGAAUUUCUAAGAUGCUAUUUUCAAUCAUUUUCAGAGAUGUUUCCAAGUUGCAAUCAAGAGAUCUUUUUUGAUAGAAAGUCAAAUUAUUACUAUUAGCUGUGAUGUCCCCUGAAUGUAAUUAAUUUGCUUUGUGGUAAGAGAUAUGCUAAUCAUUACCACUUGGUAGAUGUUGAAAACUUAGGAAAGAUAUGUAUGGAAAUAUGUACACCCCUAAACAGAAAGGAGGUAUUAAAAUAAUGUAAUUUACAAACCUCUCAGCAUUAAUUAGUGUCCAACUAUAAGUGGGUCAGUUCCUUAGGAUAAUAUGAAAGGCUUGUUUAGUAUUUUUUCUUUUUUCUUUAGCCUAAUGAUUUACUUAGAAUUUCUCCUUCCUGUAUUUUAAAUGAUCUGUACUAUAAACAAAACACUAUUAGAAAAAUUAGCCACCUCCUAACCCUUUCCCCUCAGUCCUUGAAUGUCCAUUCCAAUGUGUGGAACACAGUUCCUUUGCCCUCCACACUGCUUUCAAAGGGAAGGGGAUCUCAUUGAGUCCUUUGAGGGUGGUUUUUCUUAUCUCUGAGUUAGAAGGAAUUUAAUUAGGUCAUCGUACAUGGGGAUGAGGCUUACGAAGCAUGCCACUCUCCCUACUGCUGCUUAAAAUGUGAGGACAGCCAUCAGAAGCCAUCCUGAGGCACUUGGGUAUGGCUCUGUCAUCUGUUCCCAUGGUAGAAGGCAAAUCAUCUCCAAAUCUCACUGUUUGUAUACUUUUGUUUUGGGUUUUCAUCCUUGGCUUAUUUUGUGGCUUUUAAGACAGUGGAUCAUAUUGUGAAAAUCUGUGAUUCCUGGUGGCCAGUAUCCUGGAUCCCCUACCUGUUUACUGUCUUGCCUCACUCCUCCUCCCAUGAAGCAGCACACUUCGUAUUAACUUAUGUCUCUUGUUAAAUGAGGUUAAUGUCUUUGUGUUUUGUUCAAAACUAUAUUGAAAAAGAUAAAUAUUAUAUUGUUUAAUGCAAAUUGAAGGAAUGCAAUAAAGAAUAAGUAUACUGAAAGUGUUGUG